AAACUUCAAAGCACUAUAUAUACUAACAUAACGAACAAGAGUUGGAGCAUCACAAAGAGCUUAAAAUUGGGUAGCCGCAAAUGGGGAGUAAUGGAGAGAGAGUUGAAGGAUAUUGGGAAGGUUUUGGUAUGGGUGAGUAGGGAAGAUAAUUUAACUAAGUAAUAAUAAUAUCACUUUUUAUUAUUAUUACUAUUUGCUUAAGGAAUUUGUAUAUCUUCCCUACUCCACCCAUGCCAUAGGUUUCCCAUUAUUCCUCCCUCUCCUUAUCUCACCUCUGUUCCAAGAAGUAUACUCUAUAUGGGUUGCUUAUAAUUUCAUUGCCUUUGUGUUUAAUUGUCUAUUUUAUGCUAAUCAUAUAUUUGUCUAUUUGUUAAUAAGGAAACAUGCUUGUCUAAUAAGCUUUCACACACACACACACGCACGCACGCACACACUAAUAUUUCAUAUAUUGACAUAUGAUUUUUCCCUCACAUCGACGUUACGCACACAUUUUUUUUUUUUAACUUUUUACUGCGUUAUUUUGAUUGUACCUUUAUGUAUGUGUCUCAUGGGAUUGCCAAUUAAUGUUGUAGCCUUGCAGGUUUUGCUUGCUGGUUCUUUGCCAAUUAAUUUAGCUACUAAUUGGAAUUUGAAGCAGAGAGUUCAGAUUUCAGGGACCUGUUCCUUAUAACCCACAAAAUAUGGUUAUAAAUUUGUGUAGUUCAGUAUGUGUAUAUGUAGAAUCCAACUUAUGCUCACUUAGGUUUGAGAGCACGGGUUUUACCAAUUGGCUCAUAGUCCAUUGGUAACAUUUAUGUUCUCAUCAAACUUGAAAAUAUGUGUUGGAGUCUUUAUUAAGAUUCAUAUUCUCCUCUCAAUUUAAUUGAAUAAAGAGUAGACGGUUGAGUUGUACAAUAAUAGACUGGAUUGUAAUAUACAUGCGAAAACAAAAGAAGGUAUAGAGAGAGUUGUAACAUAGGCAUUUGUUGAAACCCAGCUUGUGCGUUUCAAUAAACUUUAUUUGGUUAGGCAGAUUCAUGAGCUCUGUAAAGAUAUUUCUUUGUAUGUACAUGUACAGAAACUCGAUUGAUUCACAUGAACAGAAAUCAAAUCAAUAAAUACAUAACCAAUAAUUUUUUUCCCUGAGUUCCAUUGCACAGUAUCUGAUAAUAUAGGAACAUUUAAAAGAAAUGACAGGGCACAUGUUACAAACUCACGGGGGUAAAAGAUUCAAUAAAAAUGACGAAAAUAAAAGCUGGAAAAGAAUCAGAAGAUUUGCAUUAAUCAUGUUUGGCAUUGGCCCAGCACCCUGCAAGUGGAAAAUCUUUGAUGUGAAGGGAUGUAAGUGUGUGUAUAG
rnacentral:lncRNA from 1 species